GGGGUUGUAGCUUAGUGGUAGAGUGCUUGCCUUGCAUGCAUGAGGCACUGGGUAUCUAUCCUCAGCACCACA
rnacentral:tRNA from 1 species